CUCUGCUACCCGUAGUCCUGCCAUGGAGGCGAUUGCCUGCCCGGCUAAUGCUAAGUAUUUCUUUGAAUCUGUGACAGGUGUUUUGAAACUUGGCUACCCUUGACGACGAGAGCGGGAGUUUAAGUGAGGAGAUGGGAGAUUGUGGAUCUCUGAGAAGGAGGUGGCGAGUGUCUCAGGAUGACUCCUUUUAAAACAUCCUGCGUCGUCAGAUCUCAGAGAAGACCAGCUAGCUAGAUGGUUAACAUCUCAUCAGAACUACACAGCGUCUUCCCUUCUCCACGAGAGCCUACCAGAUUCAUCACCUGGUAUUGAGGGUAAUGAGCGAGGCGUGGAGGUGAACACAUUAAACCAAGCCGACCUUGCCCAGCCCAGCCAGGAGGGAUGAUAGAGACGGUACAGGAACAGAGGGGUAUCGGCCAGGACCAAACCAAACUACCUCCACAUCCCUUCCAACUCCUCCAUGGUGGCCCCACACCUGUCCAACACUGGGAGGCGAUUUGACACAACAACAACAACACUAGAAUAGAUUGAAGGGGAAGGCAAAAAGCUGGCUUGAGGAGUGUGCUGGAGACAGACGGACUGGAAAAGUGGGACAGGGAUGCCAGGGAACUUCUCUGGUGCUGAGAGAAUGCGCUCCAGCUCAAGCUGAAUCUACAGUAAAGGAGAGGCGGAACCCCUAAUCCCCUCCCCUCCUCGUCUUCUGCUCGGAGACCUGGAUUUUCCACUGGGAGGCUGUGGCCCCUUCUUGGGAGAGAUAGGUGGGCAGAGUGGAGGGCCAUUUCACACAGCACACAGCACCCCCAGGCCCCAAGCAGCCCUGCUCUGAUACAGCGCACUAAUCACACAAACAAGCAGGAAACUCUGGUGCACGCUGCUGUGGCGAAAACAAGCAACUUAAAGACAAACAAAAGAGAGUUGGUUAGACACGGAUCUCCAUGCAGAAACAGGACUUAGAGAACAAAGGGUGACAUGAAUAGGCCUACCUUUCUCCAUUUUCAAGAGCACAACAGUGUUACAAUGGAAGACAACUGACUGCUGUUUACCUUGAUGCUCAGCAGUGUUUUUGUUUUCCAAGUUAACCACGCAAAGUGGCGUCCUGAAUCCCAGCUGAUGUGAGUGAGCACACCAGACCUGUCUGAUUCCUGGAACCCCUACCAGCUCCAAAACAAGCCUCCCUCCCUCCCCAGGAGCCUGCCGUCCACCCAGUGGGAGACUAUCUACCUGCUGAACAGCCCCACGCUUCAGGGGGGCCGCGGUAUGAUGAGCACCCCCCCCCCCAUCACCACUCCCCACUUCACACCAAGCUAGGCUGACAGACUUUUGGAAGGGAGGAGAUGACUGGGGGAGAGCGAUCGUUAGUAAACAGAAAGAGAGGGAUUGAGACAAGGGGAUGACGGAGUGAGAUGGAUAAAGAGAGAAUAUACAUUUAGAAUGUGUUGCUGAACAAUUAUACUUUGUUAUACAGAGCUCUGUUAGAGGGGUACAGCCUUGGAGGUAAAGAUAUACCUUGGUCACUUUUUAUGUGAUGUUGUGAACACAAAGCAAAGUUGCUGCAAUACCCCAGUUUAAGCACUAACUCAAAAAAAAUGGUGCGUUUGCAGCCUGAUUAUAGUGCCCUAUCUUCUUCAAAGUAGGGGGGAUUUUCAAAUUGACAUUUCAAGAACAAACACAAAGCUCAAUUGGGUGGCAUACUUGUUCAUUGUUCUUUUUAAGUUAAAACUUCUGUUCGUGUGGAAGUUAAGUCUUCCCGGGUAGCUUUUGUGCAUGCAUGUGUGUGUGCUGCCUGUGUGUGUCUACAAAGCCCCAUUCAGAUAGACCUCAGUCCAACUUUUCUGGUGGCCCAUGGCCACAACCAGAGCUCUAAUAGUGCAUGGGAGUCAUACAUGCAGCAGUGUGGCGCCCCCUUAUCUGACGAGCCAGCACGGUAAGCUCGGAUUAGCAUCUAUAUCUGGGAAAGUGGACUUCUGCGUGGGACAAUGGUGAGAGGAGGGCCCGGGAAGGAUGGGAGAUAUGGGGAUGGACAGAGAUAGAGGGAUGUCAGAAGGCCAAUAGACUUGAUAGAGAGAUCGCUUUCAUUCUGUCUUCAGUUGUUGUGUUUGCCUUCUCUCCUCCUUUUCUUUGAGCCGUUUUGUCUUUUGGCCGCGCUGACAAAGUGCAUGACGGCAGUAUGUUUCCUACAUUUGAAGGGGACUUUUUGGUGGUCUGUCUUGUGGACGACACUUCAAACCGCUGAAACAUCACACUCAUGGAGAGGGCUAAAUGGCCCUGUUUUUGAAGUCUUUCUUUGAAAUAAGCGAGGCAAUCCCCUUGGCCCAGGGAUCAUAUUCUAUUUACAUUCCCCUUGCCAACGACAGAGGCGACGCUGGCCAAAUUCACAAAAGAAGAUCCACAUUGGAAAAUCCGGCUAAUCCCUGAUUGAAAGUUCAUGUGUUGGCUUCGAUGUAUAAGCUCUGGCAGAUUUUCCCAGGAAAGAGGAAUAAAAAAAACAAUAAACUGGGAUCUUUUGGUGAAAAGGAAGCCAUUCUUCCAGGCAUAACAUAGUCAAUGUCAGUGGUCAAUGCCCCAUUGUCCAUUUUUUUAAAGAGAAACUUUUCAAAUGCAGGAGAUGUGUGUCUUACCCCUAGUAGAAGAGGGGUAAUGUCUUCCACGAGGUAUUGGAGGGAAACACAGUAGUCCAGCUCAAAGAGGCCACCAGGAGGUCAAUGACAGUCCAGGACUGCUUGUCCACCUCCUCUUUUGUUAUCUUUCUUUCUCUUUCUGUUCCUCUCUUUCUUUCUUUUUUCUUUCAUUCUCUCUGCAUCUCUCUCUCGUUGUCUCUCUCUCUUUCCCUCUCUUCCAGAGGUGGUGGCUAUGACUAGAGUGUGCGCAGAUGGCUGGCCAGCUUGCCUUUAGGGGAAGGCUCCACAGUUUAAACUUCUUGAUUUUUCUUUUCUGUUCUUUGGCCCUGCAACUUUUGAUGCCGCCUGGCGCGGCUUUAUCUCGGCAUACAUGUGAGGGAUAGCGGGGUCCUCCGAGGAGCUGUGGUUGGAAGCUAAAAUGCCCGGGCUCUAUGGCUCUGUGUCCUGCUGCAUCAAUGAGGACAUCAGUGAAACUCACACAUACAGUAGCCGACUCUAGCAGCUCUCCGAACCGUGGGUCACUGGCGUGUUGUAUGGACUUGAAGGAGGAGAGAUUUGGGACUAUAACUUCCCUCCCUCCCGUCUUCUUCUCUAAAGCACUGACUUACUGGUACAAUGGGAGGGAGGUCUCCCAUUCUGAGGGGUUGGAUUUGAUGGACACAUUGAUGCUCUAAGCUGCUUUAGAUAAGUUGAAGCCAGGAUCUAAGGCUCUGUCGGAUUGUCAGAAACAGCAGCGUUUUGACAGUCCACAUCAUACAAAUGUACUUGACAACUUGCAAUGGACAUCAUUUCAUUUCGUGAUCGACAUUUUGUUCCAUGCUUAUUAUAGUGCUAAAUUGUGGCUAAUUUAAUUCAAUAAAAGAAAGCAGGGUUAACAGACAUACAGUGGUAUUGAUGUCUUCUAUGGUGUUUGAC